CAAGUAAACCAGGUGACCGCUGUGGUGGGGUGACUACCGCAGAGGAAAGUCCGAGCUCCACCGGGCAGGAUGCUGGGUAACGCCCAGGAGGGGUGACCCUACGGAAAGCGCCACAGAAACAUACCGCCCCGGGUUAUGCCGGGGUAAGGGUGAAAUGGUGAGGUAAGAGCUCACCAGCGGCUGGGUGACCAGCCGGCUGGGCAAGCCCCAUCCGGAGCAAGACCAAAUAGGGGGGCAAAGGGACGCCCGGCCCCGUCCCCGGGUUGGUCGCAUGACCCUGGUGGUAACACCAGGGCUAGAUAGAUGGUCACCGCUCCGAUUAUCGGAGUACAGAACUCGGCUUACAGGUUUACUUGACCC
rnacentral:RNase_P_RNA from 1 species